rnacentral:misc_RNA from 1 species
CCGAGUUUACAACUCCCAAACCCCUGUGAACAUACCUAUCGUUGCUUCGGCGGAUCCGCCCCGGCGCCCUCGGGCCCGGAUCAGGCGCUCGCCGGAGACCCCAAACUCUUGUAUUUCUUUAGUAUCUUCUGAGUAAACAAGCAAAUAAAUUA